GACGAACGCUGGCGGCGUGCUUAACACAUGCAAGUCGAACGAAGAGCGAUGGAAGCUUGCUUCUAUCAAUCUUAGUGGCGAACGGGUGAGUAACGCGUAAUCAACCUGCCCUUCAGAGGGGGACAACAGUUGGAAACGACUGCUAAUACCGCAUACGAUCUGACCUCGGCAUCGAGGAUAGAUGAAAGGUGGCCUCUAUUUAUAAGCUAUCACUGAAGGAGGGGAUUGCGUCUGAUUAGCUAGUUGGAGGGGUAACGGCCCACCAAGGCGAUGAUCAGUAGCCGGUCUGAGAGGAUGAACGGCCACAUUGGGACUGAGACACGGCCCAGACUCCUACGGGAGGCAGCAGUGGGGAAUCUUCCGCAAUGGACGAAAGUCUGACGGAGCAACGCCGCGUGAGUGAUGACGGCCUUCGGGUUGUAAAGCUCUGUUAAUCGGGACGAAAGGCCUUCUUGCGAAUAGUUAGAAGGAUUGACGGUACCGGAAUAGAAAGCCACGGCUAACUACGUG
rnacentral:rRNA from 1 species